rnacentral:lncRNA from 1 species
CCAAUGAAGAUCUCCAAAGUUGACAGAGAAAUGAUUGAGUUAGCUGUAAGGAGUAAGGUUUGCAAUAUUGGACUGAAACGCUCUGCUGCGAAGCUAUUGGCUCGAUUUCAGCCAAUAGCUAAGGAUCUAAAUCAGGUACAAAGGGACAAUUGCAGUAAUGUUCAAGCAGUAAAUAUUUUAAAGAGUAACCACCUCAAAAACAACCAGCAAUUGGAAAAAAUGUUGAGAAGAAGGUAUAAACAGUUCAUUACUAAAGCUCAUCUCCUUGCCAAAUGUUGAUCCUUUGAUGCAGGGGAAGGAACUUAAUGAAGAAGAGAUGAAUUUGACAAUGGAAUAUGGUAAUGAGAAAUAUCCAGAACUUGUUCCUAUCAACAUUAAAUUUCAGGAUAGAUCACCUCCUUUGAGUCAUUUAAUUUUACAGUACACGUGACCAAGACCAUUUCAGCUAUUGAAUGGUAGGAAUUUCAUGCAGGUUUUACGGGCUUAAUAAUUUCAGAUGAAUUAAUGUCUGCAUGAAUAAACUCAAUAUGAGGAUAUUUCAUAAAAAUAUGUUCGAUUCCGUUAGGCCCAGAAUAAAUUUAACCUAAAAGGACAAUAUCUUUAAUUUUUAAUUAAAGAAUAAUAAUUUAAGUCGUGUAUGAAAUCUAAAAGGAAAAAAAUAUUUUUAGUUUACAAUAAAGUAGAAAUUAUUCCAGUUCUAUAAGUAAACUCAGAAGAAAUUUAGUUAACCAGGACUUAAUAUACUUAAUUUAUAAUCAAGAAAUAAAUAUUUCAGUUGUAUAAGUAGACAUGUAAUUAUGCUAUAUUAAAAAAUUAUUAUUUUGCAUCAAAAUUUCUGCAUAUUUUUAAAGUUUUUCCUUAUUUUUUAUGUACAUAUUAUAGAAGUAUGAUUUAAAUCAACCUGAUUUAAAUCAAACAGCCCUGGAAAAAACUAUUUAAAUUCUAUUUAAAAAAAAAAAAAAAUAUUUUACUAUUAUACCGUACUUAACGGCAUAGGGGGUACUGUGGUUUGUACUAAACAGUGGGCUUAGUAUACCGCCUAACCCUGGUCUUUUUUUAAGUAAAUUAAACUUAUAAAUAAUAAUAUGCAGGUAUUAUACACCGAUGAGUUUUUUUUAAUUAUAACUUCAUCGAACAUAAUAUUGUAGAAAAGAUAGUUUUCCCCAAUUUAGGUCUUAAUUGCCUAAUAUGUCAAUGUUAUGCAUACAUUUCAUAAUUUUGUUUAGUUCUUUACGCACUUCAAUAAUUGCGUUAUUAAAAGGAUGAUCACUUAGCUUCCUUCUUAUUUGCAUCUCUUUGUACCUUAGUUAAUGAUGUAUGUUUAACUAAAAAGAUUUGAAUAGUAGUUAACAUAUGUGUAUUAAUACUUAUGUUUUUUGCACACUUAUGUUGCAAUAAUAUAUGAGUCAAUUGUUGUGUACACAGGGAGGGAGAGGGAACAAUGCAAAAUCAAAGAGGCGUAAAAAUAUUGUUUUUUGCCCCCUUUCCCUUCCAUGUUUGAAAUAUUACAUCUAAUAAUAAUUGUCCGGUCGUAGCAAGCCUUGUUUAAAGAAGAAAAAAACAACAACAACCAUAGGGUGCUUCUUAUGCUGUAUGAAUGCUAAUUUUCCAAAACGUUAAAGAAAAUUUUUGUUCAUUCCUUUUAUACACAUGCUAACAAAGAAAGGGGAUGGGUCAAAAUUAAUGACAAUUGUUGAAAAUUGGGGAAUGAUUUUAUUUUAACUUGCAAAAAAACAAACUACAUAAAUUGAAUAGAUAAAUUUUUCCAUCAUCUUUAGUAGAAAUAAUUAAUUGGCAUUAACAUUAUAUGAUCUUUUUCAACCAAAUAUAUUCAAUAUUAUUUUCUAGGAAAUUAUUAGUGUUGGACAAUCUAUGACCGGUUUGAGAGGGCUUAUGAUUUUUGUUGGGUCGAACUAAUUUGGUCCUUUAAAAAAAUUGGGCUGGACCGGUCUGAUAGAAGAAUUUGGUGUAGAUUGGUCUAAAGGUAAAAUUCGGUCUAGGACAGUCCGAAGGAAAAACUCGUUCUGGAACGUUCUAAAGUAUAAUGAAAAAAUCAAUGACGUUGGAUCUAGAAAAAAAGAAAGAAAGAAAUUCGGUCUUUUGAUAUAUGAGACCGAAAAAAACUAGUCCAAAGAUUGAGACCGAGGAAUGUUGGUUCACAAUCUAGGACAGUGUCUGGACUGAAAAAUCGACCAAGAAAAAAUCACAUACUGAAAAAAAGGUGUUAGUCUCAGCAGUAAUAUUUAUGUAAAUAAAUAGUAUAUCUUGUGAGAUAUUGUACUUUUUCUUUGAAGUUGUUAAAGAAAAAGCUUCUUUGAUGAACAUAGCCUUAAGGAUAAUUAA